AACGAACGCUGGCGGCAGGCCUAACACAUGCAAGUCGAACGCCCUAGCAAUAGGGAGUGGCAGACGGGUGAGUAACGCGUGGGAACCUUCCCUAUAGUACGGAAUAUACCAGGGAAACUUGGAGCAAUACCGUAUACGCCCGAAAGGGGAAAGAUGUAUCGCUAUAGGAUGGGCCCGCGGAGGAUUAGUUAGUUGGUGAGGUAAUGGCUCACCAAGGCGACGAGCCUUAGCUGGUCUGAGAGGAUGAUCAGCCACACUGGGACUGAGACACGGCCCAGACUCCUACGGGAGGCAGCAGUGGGGAAUAUUGGGCAAUGGGCGCAAGCCUGACCCAGCCAUGCCGCGUGAGUGACGACGGCCUUAGGGUUGUAAAGCUCUUUUGGCGGGGACGAUAAUGACGGUACCCGCAGAAGAAGCCCCGGCUAACUUCGUGCCAGCCGCCGCAGUAAAAC
rnacentral:rRNA from 1 species